UUGGUUCAGGAAAAUGAAUUCUGUGAUGCUUCUGUAAAACCACCUCUGAUUGGGCCGAUCCAAAGGCGGUGAUAACAAACCUGAGAGGGUCUGAACCUGAAAAGUUGCCUCAUUCUACAGAAAGACUUGAAAGCUGUGAGCCCCAACUACUGUCAUAAAGACCAGAAAGAACGUCCAGAAAGUCUGUGUUCCAGAAAGAACGUCAACCAAAUGCUUCCAAAGUGACCUACUCAGGGUGCCACUUGCCCCCAUCCGGCCAGGAGUGUGACACUCCCACAGGGGAAGGUGCCUGGUACAGUUUGCAUCCAGACUGCGGGGCAGACACAGCAGUAGCUGACCACAUCCCCGUUCUUAUAGCAUCGCUGGGUCCUUUGUUAAGGGCAGACGGCAGCAGCUGAAAAGGAGCUUUACAUCUUGUGCCACAAGAAUCUCAUUCAAGCAGGAAGACAACGGAAGGAGAAGGCAAACUUUGAGCCCUCUCUGAGUUCUCCCUAGCGGUCUGAAGCAAAGCAGUCACGCCGAAGGCAGCUAUUCUCCAGUCUUCACUAGGGGCCCAAUCCUGGAACGUGCUGAGGUCACUUAACAGCACUCGGGAACCUUCCAGGAUCAGGCCCCAUAAUUCAUAUACCAGGCUAUUAUUAUCACGUAGCAUUUAUACUGCACUGGUGCCUAGACGCCAGCCAGGCCUGGGGCCAGCUGUGCUGGGGACUCCAACAGACAGAGCUCGUGUCUUCCUGUAUGCAAACCACACAUAGCCAUGUGCUGAAAUCAGAGCACAGGGGAAACGCUAAUGUUAGCAUGGUAUCAAAGCACCACGCCAGCUGUUAGAGACAUGGUCUCUGGUGCCCAUUUGUGAAAUGCUACAGGCACAGGAGGGUCUGCGGGACUGUGAAGAACAGAGGAGAUAUGGGGAUUUU